GAUAAACGCUGGCGGCGCACAUAAGACAUGCAAGUCGAACGAACUUAGGCUCAUUCUUUACGAUUGAGUACGGUUAGUGGCGGACUGGUGAGUAACGCGUGAGCAACCUGGCUAUAAGAGGGGAAUAACAGUUAGAAAUGACUGCUAAUACCGCAUAAGCUGAUAAAGUCGCAUGAUUUAGUCAGAAAAGGAGCAAUCCGCUUAUAGAUGGGCUCGCGUCCGAUUAGCUAGUUGGUGGGGUAGAAGCCUACCAAGGCGACGAUCGGUAGCCGGACUGAGAGGUUGAACGGCCACAUUGGGACUGAGAUACGGCCCAG
rnacentral:rRNA from 1 species